AUUUGUUGCCUCGGCGGUGCCUGUUCCGACAGCCCGCCAGAGGACCCCAAACCCUGAUUACAUUUAAGAAGUCUUCUGAGUAAACCGAUUAAAUAAAUCAAAACUUUCAACAACGGAUCUCUUGGUUCUGGCAUCGAUGAAGAACGCAGCGAAAUGCGAUAAGUAAUGUGAAUUGCAGAAUUCAGUGAAUCAUCGAAUCUUUGAACGCACAUUGCGCCCGCUAGUAUUCUGGCGGGCAUGCCUGUCCGAGCGUCAUUUCAACCCUCAAGCCCCCGGGCUUGGUGUUGGGGAUCGGCGAGCCUCCGCGCCCGCCGUCCCCUAAAUCUAGUGGCGGUCUCGCUGUAGCUUCCUCUGCGUAGUAGCACACCUCGCACUGGGAAACAGCGCGGCCACGCCGUUAAACCCCCAACUUCUGAACGUUUGACCUCGGAUCAGGUAGGAAUACCCGCUGAAC
rnacentral:rRNA from 1 species